rnacentral:rRNA from 1 species
UCAAGCGUUUAAGGGCGUGUAGUGGAUGCCUUGGCACUGAAAGCCGAUGAAGGACGUGAUAUACUGCGAUAAGUUUCGGGGAGCUGUAUGUAAGUUUUGAUCCGAAAAUUUCCGAAUGGGGAAACCCACCACUUUAUGUGGUACUUUAAACUGAAUACAUAGGUUUAAAGAGACAACCUGGAGAACUGAAACAUCUAAGUAACCAGAGGAAAAGAAAUCAAUUGAGAUUCCGUUAGUAGUGGCGAGCGAACGCGGACUAGGCCAGUAGUUUUGUUAAAAAAAUUUGAAUAGUUUGGAAAUGCUAACCAUAGAGGGUGAUAGUCCCGUAUGAGUAAUGUUUAACAAAAUUCUUGAGUAAAGCGGGACACGUGAAAUCCUGCUCGAAUAUAGGGGGACCACCCUCUAAGCCUAAAUACUCUUCAGUGACCGAUAGUGAACUAGUACCGUGAGGGAAAGGUGAAAAGAACCCCUAUUAGGGGAGUGAAAUAGAACCUGAAACUGCAUGCCUACAAUCAGUCGAAGCUCUUUUUAGAGUGACGGCGUACCUUUUGUAUAAUGGGUCAGUGACUUAAUUUAUAAAGCAAGCUUAAGCCAUCUAGGUGUAGGCGUAGCGAAAGCAAGUCUUAAUAGGGCGAUUAGUUUUAUGAAUUAGACCCGAAAACGAAUGAGCUUACCAUGAGCAGGUUGAAAGUUGGGUAACACCAACCGGAGGACCGAACCAGUUGACGUUGAAAAGUCUUUGGAUGACUUGUGGUAAGGGGUGAAAGGCCAACCAAAUUCGUAGAUAGCUGGUUUUCCGCGAAAACUAUUUAGGUAGUGCGUUGAAUAAAUAGAUGUUUAGAGGUAGAGCACUAAAUGGGCUAGGGGGAAGAGAUUCUUACCAAACCUAAUAAAACUCCGAAUGCUAGACAUUGUUCUUCAACAGACAGACUGUGGGUGCUAAGGUCCAUGGUCGAGAGGGAAAGAGCCCAGACCACCAGAUAAGGUCCCCAAAUUAUGAUUAAGUGUGAAAGGAUGUGGAAAUUCCUUAACAGCCGGGAGGUUGGCUUAGAAGCAGCCAUCCUUUAAAGAUAGCGUAACAGCUCACCGGUCUAAUAGAGUUUCUGCGCCGAAGAUGUAACGGGGCUAAAAUCAUAUACCGAAUCUGUGGGUUUAUAAAAUUUUCGAAUUUUAUAAGCGGUAGCGGAACGUUCUGUAAGCCUGUGAAGGGAUACCCGUGAGGGAUCCUGGAGGUAUCAGAAGUGCGAAUGCUGACAUAAGUAACGAUAAAAGAAGUGAAAAACUUCUUCGCCGAAAAUCCAAGGGUUUCUGCGCAAGGUUAAUCCGCGCAGAGUUAGUCGGCACCUAAGGCGAGGGCGAAAGCCGUAGUCGAUGGAAAUAAGGUUAAUAUUCCUUAACCAGAUGGUAGUGACGGAUCUUGUAAGUUGUGAGUUCUUAAUGGAUUGAGCUUGCCGCGAAAAGGUUCCAAGAAAUAGCUCCAUCAUUAGACCGUACCCUAAACCGACACAGGUGGAUUAAUAGAGUAUAUUUAGGCGCUUGAGAGAAUGAUGUUGAAGGAACUCGGCAAAAUGCUUCCGUAACUUCGGGAUAAGGAAGACCUGUUUUUAGGCAACUAGAGAUGGGUGGCACAAGCCAGGGAGAAGCGACUGUUUAUCAAAAACACAGGGCUCUGCUAACACGUAAGUGGAUGUAUAGGGUCUGACGCCUGCCCGGUGCUGGAAGGUUAAUGCGGUUGGUGCAAGCUAACUUCUGAAGCCCCAGUAAACGGCGGCCGUAACUAUAACGGUCCUAAGGUAGCGAAAUUCCUUGUCGGGUAAGUUCCGACCUGCAUGAAUGGCGUAACGAUUUCUCCGCUGUCUCCAACAUCAACUCAGUGAAAUUGAAUUCUCCGUGAAGAUGCGGAGUUCGCGUAGUUAGACGGAAAGACCCCGUGCACCUUUACUGCAACUUUACAUUGGUAUUAGGAAAAACAUAUUUAGCAUAGGAGGGAGACAUUGAAGCAAAGGCGUCAGCUUUUGUGGAGUCACCAGUGAAAUACCUCUUUUGUUUUUCUUGGUAUCUAACUGAUUGCCGUUAUCCGGCAUCAAGACAUUGUAUGGUGGGUAGUUUGACUGGGGCGGUCGCCUCCCAAAUAGUAACGGAGGCGUGCGAAGGUAGGCUCAGAACGGUCAGAAAUCGUUCGUAGAGUGC